AUAUGGCUGACGAGUCUCAGAUAGGACGAAACGUGCGUUCUGGAU
rfam:Schistosoma haematobium scaffold268_41, whole genome shotgun sequence.